CAGUCGAGCGAACAGACGAGGAGCUUGCUCCUCUGACGUUAGCGGCGGACGGGUGAGUAACACGUGGAUAACCUACCUAUAAGACUGGGAUAACUUCGGGAAACCGGAGCUAAUACCGGAUAAUAUAUUGAACCGCAUGGUUCAAUAGUGAAAGACGGUUUUGCUGUCACUUAUAGAUGGAUCCGCGCCGCAUUAGCUAGUUGGUAAGGUAACGGCUUACCAAGGCAACGAUGCGUAGCCGACCUGAGAGGGUGAUCGGCCACACUGGAACUGAGACACGGUCCAGACUCCUACGGGAGGCAGCAGUAGGGAAUCUUCCGCAAUGGGCGAAAGCCUGACGGAGCAACGCCGCGUGAGUGAUGAAGGUCUUCGGAUCGUAAAACUCUGUUAUUAGGGAAGAACAAAUGUGUAAGUAACUAUGCACGUCUUGACGGUACCUAAUCAGAAAGCCACGGCUAACUACGUGCCAGCAGCCGCGGUAAUACGUAGGUGGCAAGCGUUAUCCGGAAUUAUUGGGCGUAAAGCGCGCGUAGGCGGUUUUUUAAGUCUGAUGUGAAAGCCCACGGCUCAACCGUGGAGGGUCAUUGGAAACUGGAAAACUUGAGUGCAGAAGAGGAAAGUGGAAUUCCAUGUGUA
rnacentral:rRNA from 1 species